CCAGUGGCGUGGGGUUCCCACGGAGCCUGAGUUCUUUCGCACAGCGAGCAUGCAGCUAGGCCGAUCUUUGUUCUUUAGAGACAAAGCCCCUGAACUUGGGUCCUCGCUUUGUUCAGGUACAAGAAGAGCCCGUUCACAGAAGGCGUGUGCUAGGGGAGAGGGCUUGGUGCGUGCGGUGACCGCUUCGGUGGGCUGUGAUCUGAAUCACAUAGCACUCAAGGUUUUGUCAGGUUUUCUCUAUAUCCAGAUUCGAUUCCUCCAGGCUUUCACAAAAUUUAAAGUGUUUAUCCAAAUCAUUUGUUCUGUUUGACGUCUUGGGCCACCAUACCAUGGUUAUAUAAGAAGUUGCAUUUGAAAUGUUAAGCCCCCCCUUUAAAACACACACACACACACACACACACACACACGGAACUCACUACAUAGAUUUAGAAACAAGAUAUUUUAUAACAAGGCAUUGUUUUUCCUAAUACAUAUUUAACAAUCAAUCAAGGUAUAUCAGCGGCAGACGUUUGGUUUGAGGAAGGGAGGAGUUCGUGUGUUUGAGUCCACUUUUCUGCCCUGUCCCACCCCAGUCCCCUUUGGAAUUUAAUCCUUGGUGGUGCAGGGCUGUAAACAGCCAGUGUAGGACACGUUACCAGACUCAAAGCAACUUCUUAAUCUAUGUUUUAGAGUGUUGGGCUUCACGAAUUUUUCUGAUGAUGGGAAAUAGAGAUAAAGUUAGUAAGAUCCCAACCAUGCCUCUUCUAGCUUCCCCAUGAGUAGUGAACAGUGAUUCACCUGGGCUCUCUUACACUUGUUGAGAGUAGGACUCUUGGAGACUCAAAAAGGGAAAUAUAUUUCCAAAAACACUGAUUCCAUCUCCAUUCGAUGAAGACCACACCUUAAUACUUGCAAAUCAUCUUGAACUAUGGAUAACAAAGGUGCUACUGCAAUCCUCACGUUAUCUUUUAGAUUUUCAGACUUUUGUGAUUUCAGCAUUCUAGGCUUAAUAAAGUUUUAUUUAAAUUGUAUAAAUGUAUCCAUCUGUGCUUAACUAACUGAAACAGAGCCACUGGAUGUAAAGAAUGAGGGCUGAAGCUUUGGGGGAUGGGAUACAACUUUCAAAUUGGUGAUAUCAUAUGAGACCAUUAUAGGUAGUUUACCUGGCAUCUGUCUACUAGGCUGCUUUUUAAACUAGGACACACAUCUAUUGUUUAGUGAUAAUUAUACUGAUAAGGACACGAAGAGACUGUAAAAUCCUGCUGAACUAUCUGAAAUAGUUUUGUAUCAUUAAAAGUAAUUAUGAGAAAUACAUUUUACAUUUUAA